GAAAUGCGAUAAGUAGUGUGAAUUGCAGAAUUCAGUGAAUCAUCGAAUCUUUGAACGCACAUUGCGCCCCUUGGUAUUCCAUGGGGCAUGCCUGUUCGAGCGUCAUUUGUACCCUCAAGCUCUGCUUGGUGUUGGGUGUUUGUCCCGUCUCCGCGCGUGGACUCGCCCCAAAGUGAUUGGCAGCCGGCGUACUGGUCCCGGAGCGCAGCACAUGUCGCGCAAACGAGUGCCUUGGUACAGCGGCGUCCAUAAGCCCCUCUCUCACGCUCUUGACCUCGGAUCAGGUAGGGAUACCCGCUGAACUUAAGC
rnacentral:misc_RNA from 1 species